GACGAACGCUGGCGGCGUGCCUAAUACAUGCAAGUAGAACGCUGAAGGGAGGAGCUUGCUCUUCUUGGAUGAGUUGCGAACGGGUGAGUAACGCGUAGGUAACCUGCCUUGUAGCGGGGGAUAACUAUUGGAAACGAUAGCUAAUACCGCAUAACAAUGGAUGACACAUGUCAUUUAUUUGAAAGGGGCAAUUGCUCCACUACAAGAUGGACCUGCGUUGUAUUAGCUAGUAGGUGAGGUAAUGGCUCACCUAGGCGACGAUACAUAGCCGACCUGAGAGGGUGAUCGGCCACACUGGGACUGAGACACGGCCCAGACUCCUACGGGAGGCAGCAGUAGGGAAUCUUCGGCAAUGGGGGCAACCCUGACCGAGCAACGCCGCGUGAGUGAAGAAGGUUUUCGGAUCGUAAAGCUCUGUUGUAAGUCAAGAACGGGUGUGAGAGUGGAAAGUUCACACUGUGACGGUAGCUUACCAGAAAGGGACGGCUAACUACGUG
rnacentral:rRNA from 1 species